rnacentral:rRNA from 1 species
UACGUAGGUGGCUAGCGUUGUCCGGAUUUACUGGGCGUAAAGAGCGCGCAGGCGGUCGUUCAAGUCGCGUGUGAAAGCCCCCGGCUCAACUGGGGAGGGUCACGCGAUACUGCUCGACUUGAAGGCAGGAGAGGGAAGUGGAAUUCCCGGUGUAGUGGUGAAAUGCGUAGAUAUCGGGAGGAACACCAGUGGCGAAGGCGACUUCCUGGCCUGUUCUUGACGCUGAGGCGCGAAAGCGAGGGUAGCAAACAGG